UGUGUGACAAGAGGAGGGCGCUUUAUGUGACUGGAAGGACUUUGGACCUGUGUGCAUGGCAUUCUGGGAAGAAGACAGCAAGAAAUGAAUGGCCGAUGCUUUGUGGGAGGACUGCACUGUAUUUUUUUUAUAGUUACAGAACUGUGUGUUUCUGAGUUUCCCAGGGAGGUGCCCAUCAGGACUGUAGACAGAGUGGAUGUUUUGUUCUUUUUUUCAUUAACGAAGACUCCGAUUGGUUUUUUUUUUGGUCUGCUGAGUGCUGGAUCUGCGUCGAAUCAUCAGCGGUUUCAACCAGGUUUCCCGUCAGAGGCGUGGCGGAGUUGAAGGGGAUGUUAAUCCUCCACUCUCAUCACCUGCUGGAGAAGUGCACAUACCUGGAGAGGAGCCUGAACCGCGCGCAGUAACAGUUCUUUACACACACACUACCCGGGUAGCACACACAUGUACACAAAUCGACUUUGACUGACCUGGAUGUGGAUUAAACUGACUCCUUUGACUUGA